rnacentral:rRNA from 1 species
CCUACGGGUGGCAGCAGUGGGGAAUAUUGGGCAAUGGGCGCAAGCCUGACCCAGCAACGCCGCGUGAAGGAAGAAGGCUUUCGGGUUGUAAACUUCUUUUCUCAGGGACGAAGCAAGUGACGGUACCUGAGGAAUAAGCCACGGCUAACUACGUGCCAGCAGCCGCGGUAAUACGUAGGUGGCAAGCGUUAUCCGGAUUUACUGGGUGUAAAGGGCGUGUAGGCGGGAAAGUAAGUCAGAUGUGAAAACCAUGGUCUAAACCUGUGGACUGCAUUUGACACUGGUAUUCUUGAGUACUGGGGAGGCAGACGGAAUUCGUAGUGUAGCGGUGAAAUGCGUAGAUAUUAGGAGGAACACCAGUGGCGAAGGCGGUCUGCUGGACAGCAACUGACGCUGAGGCGCGAAAGCGUGGGGAGCAAACAGGAUUAGAUACCCGUGUAGUC